GGUUAAGCGACUAAGCGUACACGGUGGAUGCCCUGGCAGUCAGAGGCGAUGAAGGACGUGCUAAUCUGCGAUAAGCGUCGGUAAGGUGAUAUGAACCGUUAUAACCGGCGAUUUCCGAAUGGGGAAACCCAGUGUGUUUCGACACACUAUCAUUAACUGAAUCCAUAGGUUAAUGAGGCGAACCGGGGGAACUGAAACAUCUAAGUACCCCGAGGAAAAGAAAUCAACCGAGAUUCCCCCAGUAGCGGCGAGCGAACGGGGAGCAGCCCAGAGCCUGAAUCAGUGUGUGUGUUAGUGGAAGCGUCUGGAAAGGCGCGCGAUACAGGGUGACAGCCCCGUACACAAAAAUGCACAUGCUGUGAGCUCGAUGAGUAGGGCGGGACACGUGGUAUCCUGUCUGAAUAUGGGGGGACCAUCCUCCAAGGCUAAAUACUCCUGACUGACCGAUAGUGAACCAGUACCGUGAGGGAAAGGCGAAAAGAACCCCGGCGAGGGGAGUGAAAAAGAACCUGAAACCGUGUACGUACAAGCAGUGGGAGCACGCUUAGGCGUGUGACUGCGUACCUUUUGUAUAAUGGGUCAGCGACUUAUAUUCUGUAGCAAGGUUAACCGAAUAGGGGAGCCGAAGGGAAACCGAGUCUUAACUGGGCGUUAAGUUGCAGGGUAUAGACCCGAAACCCGGUGAUCUAGCCAUGGGCAGGUUGAAGGUUGGGUAACACUAACUGGAGGACCGAACCGACUAAUGUUGAAAAAUUAGCGGAUGACUUGUGGCUGGGGGUGAAAGGCCAAUCAAACCGGGAGAUAGCUGGUUCUCCCCGAAAGCUAUUUAGGUAGCGCCUCGUGAAUUCAUCUCCGGGGGUAGAGCACUGUUUCGGCAAGGGGGUCAUCCCGACUUACCAACCCGAUGCAAACUGCGAAUACCGGAGAAUGUUAUCACGGGAGACACACGGCGGGUGCUAACGUCCGUCGUGAAGAGGGAAACAACCCAGACCGCCAGCUAAGGUCCCAAAGUCAUGGUUAAGUGGGAAACGAUGUGGGAAGGCCCAGACAGCCAGGAUGUUGGCUUAGAAGCAGCCAUCAUUUAAAGAAAGCGUAAUAGCUCACUGGUCGAGUCGGCCUGCGCGGAAGAUGUAACGGGGCUAAACCAUGCACCGAAGCUGCGGCAGCGACGCUUAUGCGUUGUUGGGUAGGGGAGCGUUCUGUAAGCCUGUGAAGGUGUACUGUGAGGUAUGCUGGAGGUAUCAGAAGUGCGAAUGCUGACAUAAGUAACGAUAAAGCGGGUGAAAAGCCCGCUCGCCGGAAGACCAAGGGUUCCUGUCCAACGUUAAUCGGGGCAGGGUGAGUCGACCCCUAAGGCGAGGCCGAAAGGCGUAGUCGAUGGGAAACAGGUUAAUAUUCCUGUACUUGGUGUUACUGCGAAGGGGGGACGGAGAAGGCUAUGUUGGCCGGGCGACGGUUGUCCCGGUUUAAGCGUGUAGGCUGGUUUUCCAGGCAAAUCCGGAAAAUCAAGGCUGAGGCGUGAUGACGAGGCACUACGGUGCUGAAGCAACAAAUGCCCUGCUUCCAGGAAAAGCCUCUAAGCAUCAGGUAACAUCAAAUCGUACCCCAAACCGACACAGGUGGUCAGGUAGAGAAUACCAAGGCGCUUGAGAGAACUCGGGUGAAGGAACUAGGCAAAAUGGUGCCGUAACUUCGGGAGAAGGCACGCUGAUAUGUAGGUGAAGUCCCUCGCGGAUGGAGCUGAAAUCAGUCGAAGAUACCAGCUGGCUGCAACUGUUUAUUAAAAACACAGCACUGUGCAAACACGAAAGUGGACGUAUACGGUGUGACGCCUGCCCGGUGCCGGAAGGUUAAUUGAUGGGGUCAGCGCAAGCGAAGCUCUUGAUCGAAGCCCCGGUAAACGGCGGCCGUAACUAUAACGGUCCUAAGGUAGCGAAAUUCCUUGUCGGGUAAGUUCCGACCUGCACGAAUGGCGUAAUGAUGGCCAGGCUGUCUCCACCCGAGACUCAGUGAAAUUGAACUCGCUGUGAAGAUGCAGUGUACCCGCGGCAAGACGGAAAGACCCCGUGAACCUUUACUAUAGCUUGACACUGAACAUUGAGCCUUGAUGUGUAGGAUAGGUGGGAGGCUUUGAAGUGUGGACGCCAGUCUGCAUGGAGCCGACCUUGAAAUACCACCCUUUAAUGUUUGAUGUUCUAACGUGGACCCGUAAUCCGGGUUGCGGACAGUGUCUGGUGGGUAGUUUGACUGGGGCGGUCUCCUCCUAAAGAGUAACGGAGGAGCACGAAGGUUGGCUAAUCCUGGUCGGACAUCAGGAGGUUAGUGCAAUGGCAUAAGCCAGCUUGACUGCGAGCGUGACGGCGCGAGCAGGUGCGAAAGCAGGUCAUAGUGAUCCGGUGGUUCUGAAUGGAAGGGCCAUCGCUCAACGGAUAAAAGGUACUCCGGGGAUAACAGGCUGAUACCGCCCAAGAGUUCAUAUCGACGGCGGUGUUUGGCACCUCGAUGUCGGCUCAUCACAUCCUGGGGCUGAAGUAGGUCCCAAGGGUAUGGCUGUUCGCCAUUUAAAGUGGUACGCGAGCUGGGUUUAGAACGUCGUGAGACAGUUCGGUCCCUAUCUGCCGUGGGCGCUGGAGAAUUGAGGGGGGCUGCUCCUAGUACGAGAGGACCGGAGUGGACGCAUCACUGGUGUUCGGGUUGUCAUGCCAAUGGCACUGCCCGGUAGCUAAAUGCGGAAGAGAUAAGUGCUGAAAGCAUCUAAGCACGAAACUUGCCCCGAGAUGAGUUCUCCCUGACCCUUUAAGGGUCCUGAAGGAACGUUGAAGACGACGACGUUGAUAGGCCGGGUGUGUAAGCGCAGCGAUGCGUUGAGCUAACCGGUACUAAUGAACCGUGAGGCUUAACCUU
rnacentral:rRNA from 1 species